rnacentral:misc_RNA from 1 species
GAAGAAGCAUAUAUUCCAGUGUGCUUACGUUCAAGGUCGUGUUAUAGGGACUAUCUUCCCUGCUCCUUGCAAGAACCUCGAUCUAUAUGACGAACAAGGACAUCUGAUCAGACGUUCUGAUGCUCAAAACGCAACAGACAUAGAUUAUGACAUUUGAACUGAUUCCACGGAAUGCCUUCAUAGCGGGAGCUUAGUGCACCGGGCAGUGUUUUAUUUUAUUUUCUCAUUACAUUUUGUUCUCUGCAUUAUACAUACAGAACCAAGUCCCUUUUGAUGUAUUCAAAAAACCCACAGAUCCAAUGUAAAGAACACUUCCUUUGUUC